rnacentral:rRNA from 1 species
UGGGGAAUUUUGGACAAUGGGCGAAAGCCUGAUCCAGCAAUGCCGCGUGUGUGAAGAAGGCCUUCGGGUUGUAAAGCACUUUUGUCCGGAAAGAAAUCCUUGGCUCUAAUACAGUCGGGGGAUGACGGUACCGGAAGAAUAAGCACCGGCUAACUACGUGCCAGCAGCCGCGGUAAUACGUAGGGUGCAAGCGUUAAUCGGAAUUACUGGGCGUAAAGCGUGCGCAGGCGGUUUGCUAAGACCGAUGUGAAAUCCCCGGGCUCAACCUGGGAACUGCAUUGGUGACUGGCAGGCUAGAGUAUGGCACGAGGGGUAGGGGUAAUAUCCACGUGUAGCAGUGAAAUGCGUAGAGAUGUGGAGGAAUACCGAUGGCGAAGGCAGCCCCCUGGGCCAAUACUGACGCUCAUGCACGAAAGCGUGGGGAGCAAACAGGAUUAGAUACCCUGGUAGUCCACGCCCUAAAACGAUGUCAACUAGUUGUUGGGGAUUCAUUUCCUUAGUAACGUAGCUAACGCGUGAAGUUGACCGCCUGGGGAGUACGGUCGCAAGAUUAAAACUCAAAUGAAUUGACGGGGUCAUAGCUGUUUCCU